AUACGUAGGUGGCAAGCGUUGUCCGGAAUUAUUGGGCGUAAAGAGCAUGUAGGCGGGAAUCUAAGUCUGUUGUUAAAAUGCGGGGCUCAACCCCGUAUUGCGAUGGAAACUGGGUUUCUUGAGUGCAGGAGAGGAAAGGGGAAUUCCCAGUGUAGCGGUGAAAUGCGUAGAUAUUGGGAGGAACACCAGUGGCGAAGGCGCCUUUCUGGACUGUGUCUGACGCUGAGAUGCGAAAGCCAGGGUAGC
rnacentral:rRNA from 1 species